rnacentral:rRNA from 1 species
CAUAAAGUGCGUCGUAGUCCGGAUUGGAGUCUGCAACUCGACUCCAUGAAGUCGGAAUCGCUAGUAAUCGUGGAUCAGAAUGCCACGGUGAAUACGUUCCCGGGCCUUGUACACACCGCCCGUCACACCAUGGGAGUGGGUUGCAAAAGAAGUAGGUAGCUUAACCUUCGGGAGGGCGCUUACCACUUUGUGAUUCAUGACUGGGGUGAAGUCGUAACAAGGUAACCGUAGGGGAACCUGCGGUUGGAUCAC